rnacentral:rRNA from 1 species
CUACGGGACGCAGCAGUGAGGAAUAUUGCACAAUGGGGGAAACCCUGAUGCAGCAACGCCGCGUGGAGGAUGACGCAUUUCGGUGUGUAAACUCCUUUUAUAUGUCAAGAAAAUGACGGUAGCAUAUGAAUAAGCACCGGCUAACUCCGUGCCAGCAGCCGCGGUAAUACGGAGGGUGCAAGCGUUAUUCGGAAUCACUGGGCGUAAAGGACGCGUAGGCGGGUUUGCAAGUCAGGUGUGAAAUCCUAUGGCUCAACCAUAGAACUGCACUUGAAACUGCGAACCUAGAGUAUGGAAGGGGCAGAUGGAAUUAGUGGUGUAGGGGUAAAAUCCGUAGAUAUCACUAGGAAUACCAAAAGCGAAGGCGAUCUGCUGGGACAUUACUGACGCUAAGGCGUGAAAGCGUGGGGAGCAAACAGGAUUAGAUACCCCUGUAGUC